CCCUACGGGGCGCAGCAGUGGGGAGUAUUGCACAAUGGGGGAAACCCUGAUGCAGCGACGCCGCGUGAGCGAAGAAGUAUUUCGGUAUGUAAAGCUCUAUCAGCAGGAAAGAAAAUGACGGUACCUGACUAAGAAGCCCCGGCUAACUACGUGCCAGCAGCCGCGGUAAUACGUAGGGGGCAAGCGUUAUCCGGAUUUACUGGGUGUAAAGGGAGCGUAGACGGCAGCGCAAGUCUGGAGUGAAAUGCCGGGGCCCAACCCCGGAACUGCUCUGGAAACUGUGAAGCUGGAGUGCAGGAGAGGUA
rnacentral:rRNA from 1 species